CCCCAACCCGGGACCCCGGGCAGAGCUGUGGUGUGGGGUGGGCAGUGCAGUGACACCCCCCUUGCCCCCUUAUCGGGGCGGGGGGGGAACUUUCUCCUUUCCUUUCUGCUCUCUGUGCUCCCGGUGUUUGCAAUCAGCGUUUUUUCAGGGGCCGGAUCGAUACCCCUCUCUCUGCCAGAACGUCAGCCCCGCCGGGGUCACCGCCCCCCCGGGGGUGUGUGGNNNNNNNNNNGCCGGGGUCACCGCCUCCCCGCCCCCCCGGGGGUGUGUGGGGCUGGGGGAUCCCCGGUUGGCUACUGCGAGCCCUGGGUUGGCUACUGCGAGCCCCGGCUGCUCGCCUCCGAGCCCAGCUUGGAGGGUAGGGGAGUGGAGAGCCGGUGGGGGUUCGGGGGGGUUGGGGGGUGGCUCCGGCAGCCCCCCCUCCGCCCCCUUUCCCUGGGCGCGCAGCAGCAUCACCCCUACCGAGGCUUAAAUUUGGGGUAUCCCUCCCGUGGGAUUAAACCCAAGCCAAAACCGACGGCGNNNNNNNNNNCCCGCCGCGAAGUCCUGCAGCUGGAAGCUGCCCAUGCUGCGCCGCCGAGCCCGUCCCGUCGGAGGGGUAGCGGGUCCCCACCGGGCCGGGGAGGGGACACACACACAGCUCCGGUCAAGGGGUUUCCACCGGGUAAGGGGGUCCCGCCGGGAAGGGAGUCACUCUGGAGAGGGGGUGACUCCGGACGAGGGGUCCCCACCGGGCAGGGGGUGACUCCGGACGAAGGGNNNNNNNNNNUCCCCGGUGCCGGCGGCAGCCCGGCGCGCGCCGCAGAGUGUCUCCCGGGCGGAGUGACAUCACGCACCGGCCUUAAAGGCGCCGCAGCGGGUCCGGCGGCGGGAGAGAGAGAGAGCGGGGCGGGAGGGGCUGGGGGGGGCGGUGCGGGGGUUUCCCCGCAGGAGCGAUGCUGUCGGGGAACGGGGGGGUCGGGGUCCUCUUUACGCCGGGGUCGGUGGCCGCGGGGAGAUGGGGCACCGAGGGGUUCCGUGUGAAGGGGGAAAAUCAGGGUUUCUCGGGGAAGCGUGCAAUAAAUUCUAAAAUUAAAGAUGUUAAGUCCA
rnacentral:lncRNA from 1 species